CAACGGCGGCUGCGUUCCUUCGAGUCUCUCCACUUCGACUGUACCAGUGAGAGAGCGCAAGUUGGUGACUCGAUCCGAUCUACUUGCAAUCCUAUUCGAUCUCGUCUCAUUGUGGCAGUCUGGUGACGUUUUCUGAGUCUCGAAACCCUCCAAACUCAUUCUUUGGAAUCUGAUGAUUCUUAGUUUGUCCGAGUUAUCGACUGAUUUCGAAAUGGAACACCAUGUUAUGAUUUUUUUUUAUAGAAUAAGACAUUGCAGAAGGUGAAACAAUUGUGCUGUUCUCCAUGUCAUAUCAUCAACUAACUUCAGUGCAUGCUGAUGCAUCAGACAGGGUUUGCAAACCAGGUGUAAAUCUCAGCUCGAUGUCACAAUUGUUAUCAUCUUAACAAAGGUCCUAAAUGUCUUAGCUCACACCAGUCUUUCAAGUGGGAAUACUGCAAGGCACUCUCAGUUCAUGUGAAGUUGGAAACCACCACACCCAUUUCCUACUUUACCACGGAUUGCAGCUUCAAGGACCUACAUAUCAUAUGCAAAAGAUUUUAGUUGUUUGCACUUUUUUCUCAUUAUAGUUGUUGCACUGGUUGCCGUCACGUUACUAACAUGGGCCUUGUUCGAGAAAAAAGAUUUUCCUAGAAAUUGAGACCACUGGAUUGGACUAGUUGUGCAAGCAAUUGCAAACCACUUGCAAAAAUAUUUUGGAAGUUUGAGAAGGCUCUGCAUAUCUCUGGAAUUGCCAUAAGCCUCUGAAAUUGAUGUGUGAAAUGUGAUCUUUGCCUUGUGCACCAAAAAUUUUCUUUUCAUGUCAUGCUUUGCUUCUUGCCGACUGAUCUAGGUGAAGGCUGUGGAGGCACCAGGGACCGAGACCAUAUUUAGUGAUUGCUUUUUCGGCCCACUGUUUCAAGCACAGCAUAUGAGAUUCGGACAACGACCGGCACCCGAGCUGGCAUUUGGACAGGAGAUGCCACUAUGAUUUUAAAGCUCCAACCAACCAAGCGGACCGGUGGCUGAGCUCCCUGGAUGUUGGCAUCAAUUGCUAUUGAAGGUGGCAUCAAUUAUCAUUCCCCUCCUUUGGUGGAUCCUACCUGCCACAUUACCAGGAACCAAAGUGCUACAUCAUGAAAGUGAUCGGCUCCCCUCAUCACUCAGGCUUGAUGCUUAUCCCCGUCAGGUCUCAGUUAUGUUGAAGCUUGGUACUUCGAGACCCAUGUGGUGACGGUGGAAGUAAAGAAGUCAUUCAUGGUUGUGUGUGUUCAUGUUUCAAGGGGACACCCUCGGUGGAAGUUUUUGGUAAGCAUGGUUACUGUAGUAAGAGAUGUGAAAUGUCCAGCCACUGUCGGGAUUAAACCGCUUUGGAUCAAAUUGCACAUCUUGAACUUAUUGAGCAAGUGUUCUUCAAUUCCUUUACCUUA